rnacentral:lncRNA from 1 species
AUGCACAUCAAUAUACAAUGCUAUUUAUUUAUUUUUUAUAAGAAUAUUGAUUGGGCUGUAAUUUCAAAGACUUGAUUGCUCCCUUUUAUAGUGCCAUAACUAAGCCCUUCCAUCUCUACCACCACAAAAGAUAAGGCUAGAUACAAUAGCUGAAAUGAUAGUAAGCAUGACAACUUGAGCAACACUUAUUCAGCUCUGAUUUCACAAUAGGUAAUAUGUCACCUAGCAACAGCGAUACAAGGGCAUGAGAGAUGAUGUCAGAAAACAAUAAAGUUGAUGGAUUUGUGGCUAUGAUGAAAUCAGCUUUCUCCUAAAGGGCUGCCCAGCAGUAACUAUAUAAAGAAUAUCUAGGCAACAAGGGAAAACUGACUUCAUACAAGAUAUGACCCAAGACUUUGAUAGCAGUUCAUCUUUUAUGGGGCACUGUGGGAUAAACUCACCUGCUGUGAAAGGAGAUAAAGGACAUUUCCCGCUGAGAUGUAAACUUUUUAGACCCUGAUCUGCAAGUCGCCAAAUGUGGCAAUCAGUCUGAGGAAAGUAGUUUACUGAUGAACGGAGCACCAGAAAACCAGUGAACCCUCCUUUAUAAAUAUUUGCAACGAACAGUCACUUUUAUGGCUUCUUCACAAUUAAUUCAUCUGGGAAGUGAUUCAGGUUCGUAAACAUGGAUGUCCAAUAUUUUUAAGCACUUUAGUGAAUGAGAC